AUUCGAAACGGUGCUCCGGCACCGUCUGCUCUGCAUGGGUAACAGGGCACUGAAGAUGAUAGCCCAUU
rnacentral:hammerhead_ribozyme from 2 species